rnacentral:rRNA from 1 species
AGCAGUCGCCACGGUAAUACGAAGGGUGCAAGCGUUAAUCGGAAUUACUGGGCGUAAAGCGUGCGUAGGCGGUGAGUUAAGUCUGCUGUGAAAUCCCUGGGCUCAACCUGGGAAUUGCGAUGGAUACUGGGCGACUAGAGUGCGGUAGAGGAUAGUGGAAUUUCCGGUGUAGCAGUGAAAUGCGUAGAGAUCGGAAGGAACAUCUGUGGCGAAGGCGACUAUCUGGGCCAACACUGACACUGAGACACGAAAGCGUGGGGAGCAAACAGGAUUAGAUACCCCAGUAGUCCCUGUCUCUUAUAC